UACGAAGGGUGCAACCGUUGCUCGGAAUCAUUGGGCGUAAAGCGCACGUAGGCGGCUUCGCAAGUCGGAUGUGAAAUCCCUCGGCUCAACCGAGGACGUGCAUCCGAAACUGCGAGGCUUGAGUACAGAAGAGGAUCGCGGAAUUCCCGGUGUAGAGGUGAAAUUCGUAGAUAUCGGGAGGAACACCAGUGGCGAAGGCGGCGAUCUGGGCUGAUACUGACGCUGAGGUGCGAAAGCGUGGGGAGCAAACAGG
rnacentral:rRNA from 1 species